rnacentral:tRNA from 1 species
CGAACCGCGCUUGACAAAAUCCGAGCUUCCUAUGCUUGACGGCGGGGAAGAGCACACAAUCAAUGAAACGAUGGCA